UACGAAGGGGGGCUAGCGUUGUUCGGAAUUACUGGGCGUAAAGCGCGCGCAGGCGGUCUUCCAAGUCAGUGGUGAAAGCCCGGAGCUCAACUCCGGAACUGCCAUUGAAACUGUUAGACUUGAGGACGAGAGAGGUGAGUGGAAUUCCCAGUGUAGAGGUGAAAUUCGUAGAUAUUGGGAAGAACACCGGUGGCGAAGGCGGCUCACUGGCUCGUAUCUGACGCUCAGGCGCGACAGCGUGGGGGAUCAAACAGG
rnacentral:rRNA from 1 species